rnacentral:rRNA from 1 species
GACGAACCGUGCGAACGUUGUUCGGAAUCACUGGGCUUAAAGGGCGCGUAGGCGGGCGAUCAAGUCAGUGGUGAAAUCCUCCAGCUCAACUGGAGAACUGCCUCUGAUACUGGUCGUCUCGAGGGAGGUAGGGGCAUGCGGAACUGCUGGUGGAGCGGUGAAAUGUGUUGAUAUCAGCAGGAACUCCGGUGGCGAAAGCGGCGUGCUGGACCUCUUCUGACGCUGAGGCGCGAAAGCUAGGGGAGCAAACGGGAUUAAAUACCCUAGUAGU